UGUAAAAGGCAGAGGUAGCUUCUAAAUAGAAGUUUGAGAAAUACUCUUAGAACCUGAUCUAGUUAAUACUAGCGUAGGAAGACCUAAACAUAAAAAA
rnacentral:ncRNA from 2 species